AUGAAGAAGAUCAAGAGUGGGAAUGAGCUAGUGGAAGAAGUAAGGAAGAUUGAGAAGAACAUCAACGCUGGCAGCACUAUCUCUUCACAGCUAGAGCUGAGAAUUUCUGGGAUAUCCCUUGAUACAUGUGAGGUUCCAACACCUUCACAUUCAGCUGAGCAAGAUAGCGAGAGUCCAGAGGAAGAGAUACUUCAGAUCCAAGAAGAAAUUCUCGAAGCCAAGGCACAAGAUGAUCCAGAGCUCGAAUACACAAAUGAACAAGUUGAAGAUCCAAUGUCUAUCUCUUCCGAAGAAGUAGAAGAAGCUGCUGUAGAUGAAGAACCUGAGAUUCAUUUGCCUAUUGUCAUACAAGAGUGUGAUGUGUCAGGUUCAUCCAAUCCUCUUAAUGACAUGUCUCAUUAUGUUUUGUUUGAUUCUGUUAGACCUUUCAGUCUGAGCAUUUCAUAG
rnacentral:rRNA from 1 species